rnacentral:rRNA from 1 species
GAUGAACGCUGGCGGCGUGCCUAAUACAUGCAAGUAGAACGCUGAAGAGAGGAGCUUGCUCUUCUUGGGUGAGUUGCGAACGGGUGAGUAACGCGUAGAUAACCUGCCUUGUAGCGGGGGAUAACUACUGGAAACGAUAGCUAAUACCGCAUAAUAAUGGCUGCCACAUGUCAUUUAUUUGAAACGGGCCAUUGCUCCACUACAAGAUGGAUCUGCGUUGUAUUAGCUAGUUGGUGGGGUAAUGGCUAACCAAGGCAACGAUACUUAGCCUACCUGAAAGGGUGAUCGGCAAAAUGGGACAGGAGAACCGGCCAAGACCCUAAAGGGGGGAGGAAGAGGGAAAUAUUGGAAAAGGGGGGAACGCUUGCCGAACAACGCCCGGGGAGGGAAGGAGGGUCUCGGGUUGGAAAACCCUGUUGUAAGGGAAAAACGAGUAGGAGAGUAAAAAGUUCACACUGUGACGGUAGCUAACCAGAAAGAAACGGCUAACUACGUG